rnacentral:rRNA from 1 species
GACGAACGCUGGCGGCGUGCUUAACACAUGCAAGUCGAACGGAAAGGCCCUGCUUUUGUGGGGUGCUCGAGUGGCGAACGGGUGAGUAACACGUGAGUAACCUGCCCUUGACUUUGGGAUAACUUCAGGAAACUGGGGCUAAUACCGGAUAGGAGCUCCUGCUGCAUGGUGGGGGUUGGAAAGUUUCGGCGGUUGGGGAUGGACUCGCGGCUUAUCAGCUUGUUGGUGGGGUAGUGGCUUACCAAGGCUUUGACGGGUAGCCGGCCUGAGAGGGUGACCGGCCACCUUGGGACUGAGAUACGGCCCAGACUCCUACGGGAGGCAGCAGUGGGGAAUAUUGCACAAUGGGCGGAAGCCUGAUGCAGCAACGCCGCGUGCGGGAUGACGGCCUUCGGGUUGUAAACCGCUUUCGCAUGUGACGAAGCGUGAGUGACGGUAACGGGUAAAGAAGCACCGGCUAACUACGUG